CAGUCGCCACGGUAAUACAGAGGAUGCAAGCGUUAUCCGGAAUGAUUGGGCGUAAAGCGUCUGUAGGUGGCUUUUCAAGUCCGCCGUCAAAUCCCAGGGCUCAACCCUGGACAGGCGGUGGAAACUACCAAGCUAGAGUACGGUAGGGGCAGAGGGAAUUUCCGGUGGAGCGGUGAAAUGCGUUGAGAUCGAAAAGUACACCAACGACGAAAGCACUCUGCUGGGUCGACACUGACACUGAGAGACGAAAGCUAGGGGAGCAAAUGGGAUUAGAUACCCCAGUAGUCCCUGUCUCUUAUAC
rnacentral:rRNA from 1 species